rnacentral:rRNA from 1 species
UACGUAGGUGGCAAGCGUUGUUCGGAUUUACUGGGCGUAAAGAGCGCGCAGGCGGUCCGAUCAGUCGAAUGUGAAAGCCCCCGGCUCAACUUGGGAGGUUCAUUCGAUACUGUCGGACUCGAAGGCAGGAGAGGGAAGCGGAAUUCCCGGUGUAGUGGUGAAAUGCGUAGAUAUCGGGAGGAACACCAGUGGCGAAGGCGGCUUCCUGGCCUGUUCUUGACGCUGAGGCGCGAAAGCUAGGGGAGCAAACGGG